rnacentral:rRNA from 1 species
GAGUUUGAUCUUGGCUCAGAUUGAACGCUGGCGGCAUGCUUUACACAUGCAAGUCGAACGGUAACGCGGGGGCAACCCUGGCGACGAGUGGCGAACGGGUGAGUAAUACAUCGGAACGUGUCCUGGAGUGGGGGAUAGCUCGGCGAAAGCCGGAUUAAUACCGCAUACGCUCUGAGGAGGAAAGCGGGGGACCUUCGGGCCUCGCGCUGCGGGAGCGGCCGAUGUCGGAUUAGCUAGUUGGUGGGGUAAAGGCCUACCAAGGCGACGAUCCGUAGCUGGUCUGAGAGGAUGAUCAGCCACACUGGGACUGAGACACGGCCCAGACUCCUACGGGAGGCAGCAGUGGGGAAUUUUGGACAAUGGGGGCAACCCUGAUCCAGCCAUGCCGCGUGAGUGAAGAAGGCCUCGGUUGUAAG